rnacentral:rRNA from 1 species
GACGUAGGGCGCGAGCGUUGUCCGGAUUUAUUGGGCGUAAAGAGUUCGUAGCGGCUUGUCGCGUCGUCCGUGAAAACCUGCAGCUCAACUGCAGGCUUGCGGUCGAUACGGGCAGGCUAGAGUUCGGUAGGGGAGACUGGAAUUCCUGGUAUAGCGGUGAAAUGCGCAGAUAUCAGGAGGAACACCGGUGGCGAAGGCGGGUCUCUGGGCCUUUCCUGACGCUGAGACGCGAAAGCGUGGGGAGCGAACCGG